rnacentral:rRNA from 1 species
UGCAGUCGACGCCCCGCAGGGGAGUGGCAGACGGGUGAGUAGCGCGUGGGAAUCUACCCAGUCCUUCGGAACAACACAGGGAAACUUGUGCUAAUACCGGAUACGCCCUACGGGGGAAAGAUUUAUCGGGAUUGGAUGAGCCCGCGUUGGAUUAGCUAGUUGGUGGGGUAAUGGCCUACCAAGGCGACGAUCCAUAGCUGGUCUGAGAGGAUGAUCAGCCACACUGGGACUGAGACACGGCCCAGACUCCUACGGGAGGCAGCAGUGGGGAAUAUUGGACAAUGGGCGAAAGCCUGAUCCAGCCAUGCCGCGUGAGUGAUGAAGGCCUUAGGGUUGUAAAGCUCUUUCAGUGGGGAAGAUAAUGACGGUACCCACAGAAGAAGCCCCGGCUAACUUCGUGCCAGCAGCCGCGGUAAUACGAAGGGGGCUAGCGUUGUUCGGAUUUACUGGGCGUAAAGCGCACGUAGGCGGAUCGUUAAGUCGGGGGUGAAAUCCUGGAGCUCAACUCCAGAACUGCCUUCGAUACUGGCGAUCUUGAGUCCGGAAGAGGUGAGUGGAACUCCUAGUGUAGAGGUGGAAUUCGUAGAUAUUAGGAAGAACACCAGUGGCGAAGGCGGCUCACUGGUCCGGUACUGACGCUGAGGUGCGAA